AGAGGACUCUCGUCAGCUCUUACCGGCAUCUUGAGCGCGAAGUCGUCCUGACUGAAGCGGAAACCGAGGUCUGUUCCAGUGGUCUGAAGGGAUAGAAACUUCAUACAUUUUAGACUAAACCCUUGCAAGCUUCCCGUAUUUCUUUGGUAAAGACAACAGCAUCUGAAUCAGAGCAGCACAAGCCAUCAGAGCAAAGGUCCGAGUAUAAAACCCUUCGCCUCUGAGUCUCAACCGCACUCUCUGACUACACCAGACGGGCUGCGGAUUACCAGAGAGAGGGAGCAGAUCGCAC